rnacentral:rRNA from 1 species
AUUGAACGCUGGCGGCAGGCCUAACACAUGCAAGUCGAGCGGCAGCGACUUAACUGAACCUUCGGGGAACGUUAAGGGCGGCGAGCGGCGGACGGGUGAGUAAUGCCUGGGAAUAUGCCCUGAUGUGGGGGAUAACUAUUGGAAACGAUAGCUAAUACCGCAUAAUCUCUUCGGAGCAAAGAGGGGGACCUUCGGGCCUCUCGCGUCAGGAUUAGCCCAGGUGGGAUUAGCUUGUUGGUGAGGUAAUGGCUCACCAAGGCGACGAUCCCUAGCUGGUCUGAGAGGAUGAUCAGCCACACUGGAACUGAGACACGGUCCAGACUCCUACGGGAGGCAGCAGUGGGGAAUAUUGCACAAUGGGGGAAACCCUGAUGCAGCCAUGCCGCGUGUGUGAAGAAGGCCUUCGGGUUGUAAAGCACUUUCAGUAGGGAGGAAGGUAGUGUAGUUAACACCUGCAUUAUUUGACGUUACCUACAGAAGAAGCACCGGCUAACUCCGUGCCAGCAGCCGCGGUAAUACGGAGGGUGCGAGCGUUAAUCGGAAUUACUGGGCGUAAAGCGCAUGCAGGCGGCCUGUUAAGUCAGAUGUGAAAGCCCGGGGCUUAACCUCGGAAUUGCAUUUGAAACUGGCAGGCUAGAGUCUUGUAGAGGGGGGUAGAAUUUCAGGUGUAGCGGUGAAAUGCGUAGAGAUCUGAAGGGAUACCAGUGGCGAAGGCGGCCCCCUGGACAAAGACUGACGCUCAGAUGCGAAAGCGUGGGGAGCAAACAGG